GAUGAACGCUGGCGGCGUGCCUAAUACAUGCAAGUCGAGCGAACAGACGAGGAGCUUGCUCCUCUGACGUUAGCGGCGGACGGGUGAGUAACACGUGGUUAACCUACCUAUAAGACUGGGAUAACUUCGGGAAACCGGAGCUAAUACCGGAUAAUAUAUUGAACCGCAUGGUUCAAUAGUGAAAGACGGUUUUGCUGUCACUUAUAGAUGGAUCCGCGCCGCAUUAGCUAGUUGGUAAGGUAACGGCUUACCAAGGCGACGAUGCGUAGCCGACCUGAGAGGGUGAUCGGCCACACUGGAACUGAGCCACGGUCCAGACUCCUACGGGCGGCAGCAGUAGGGAAUCUUCCGCAAUGGGCGAGAGCCUGACGGAGCAACGCCGCGUGAGUGAUGAAGGUCUUCGGGUCGUAAAACUCUGUUAUUAGGGAAGAACAAAUGUGUAAGUAACUAUGCACGUCUUGACGGUACCAAAUCAGAAAGCCACGGCUAACUACGUG
rnacentral:rRNA from 1 species